UUCUUCUUCUUCCUCUCUCCGGCGUUUCUCCUGCGUCCUCCGCUCCUCUCCGCAGCAGCGAUGCUCCCGCCGGGCCUGGCCGGCCUCGGCGCUCUGUCUUCAGGCUGGCAGUAGAUCAGCAGGUCGGUGCAGGUCGCGUCACCGUCAUGGUGCAGAAAUCCCGGAACGGCGGGGUGUUCCCCGGAGCACAGGCCGACCAGAAGAAGCUGAAGGUCGGCUUUGUGGGUCUGGAGGCCGGAGGGACAGAAUCCAGCAGGGACGGAGCUCUGCUCAUAGCAGGUGGGGAGGAGGGUCCUCGACGGCAGCGCAGCAGCGUCUCUGGAGGGAAGAAACCUCCCAAACGAAACGCCCUCUACAGACGACUGCAGAACUUCCUGUACAAUGUUCUGGAGAGACCUCGAGGAUGGGCCUUCAUCUACCACGCCUACGUGUUCUUGCUGGUGUUCUCCUGUCUGGUUCUGUCUGUGUUCUCCACCAUCAGAGAGUACGAGAAGAGUUCAGAGGACGCUCUCUACAUUCUGGAAGUGGUGACCAUCGUGGUGUUCGGGGUGGAGUACAUGGUGAGGAUCUGGGCUGCAGGUUGUUGCUGCCGCUACAGAGGAUGGAGAGGACGACUCAAAUUCGCCAGGAAACCGUUCUGUGUCAUCGACAUCAUGGUGUUGAUUGCGUCCAUCUCAGUGUUGGCUGCGGGGACUCAGGGAAACGUGUUUGCCACAUCAGCCAUCAGGUCGCUUCGCUUCCUCCAGAUUCUGAGGAUGAUCAGGAUGGACCGUCGGGGAGGAACCUGGAAGCUGCUGGGAUCAGUCGUCUACGCCCACAGCAAGGAGCUGAUCACGGCGUGGUACAUCGGUUUCUUGUGUCUCAUUCUGGCCAGUUUCCUCGUUUACUUGGCAGAGAAAGAAGACAAUGAACAGUUUGAGACGUAUGCAGACGCCCUCUGGUGGGGACUGAUCACUUUGACAACCAUUGGUUAUGGAGACAAGUUCCCCAUCACCUGGAAUGGACGCCUUCUGGCAGCAACCUUCACUCUGAUUGGAGUUUCAUUCUUUGCUCUGCCUGCUGGGAUUCUGGGUUCUGGUUUCGCUCUGAAGGUUCAGGAGCAGCACCGACAGAAACACUUUGAGAAGAGAAGAAACCCAGCAGCUGGACUCAUUCAGGCGGCUUGGAGGGUUUACGCCACAAAUCUGAGCAGAACUGAUUUGACUUCAACCUGGGAUUAUUAUGAGAGGACGGUCUCCGUCCCCAUGUACAGGUUGAUUCCACCUCUCAAUCAGUUGGAUUUAUUGAGGAACCUCAAGAACAAAUCAGGACUCUCGUUCAGGAAGGACGUCCAGCCUGAACCGUCCCCCAGUCAGAAGGUCAGUCUGAAGGAGAGGGUCUUCUCGUCUCCCCGAAGCUCUGGAACCAAAGGGAAAGGUUCUCCUCAGCACGUGGUUCCAACAGUCGGCCCUGGUGUUGCUCCCGGUGUGGGUCCUGGAGUGCCUGCAGGUCCUGGAAACUUGGCGAGUGUUCAGGCUCUGCGACGGUCUCCGAGUAUGGAGCCCAGUCUGGAGGACAGUCCCAGCAAGGUGCCAAAGAGCUGGAGCUUUGGAGAACGUAGCAGAACCAGACAGGCCUUCAGGAUCAGAGGAGCUGCCUCCCGUCAAAACUCUGAGGUGCUGAUAGAGAUGCAAGACGAAGAGUUCAGACAGAAGAGCUCCCCAGAGGCCAGUCUGCCAGGAGAAGACAUGGUUGAUGACAACAAGAGCUGCCACUGUGAGUUUGUCCCUCAGGACCUGACUCCAGGACUAAAGGUCACCAUCAGGGCCAUCUGUAUCAUGCGUUUCAUGGUGUCUAAGAGGAAAUUUAAGGAGAGUCUUCGUCCCUAUGAUGUCAUGGAUGUGAUUGAACAGUAUUCAGCAGGACACCUAGACAUGCUCGCCCGUAUCAAGAACCUCCAGUCAAGGGUCGAUCAGAUAGUUGGCAGAGGAACACCAAUUGCAGACAAGGACCGUCCCAAAGCAGCCAAUGAGGAGCUUCCUGAGGACCCAAGCAUGAUGGGACGGUUGGGGAAGGUGGAAAAGCAGGUCCUGUCCAUGGAGAGAAAGCUGGACUUCCUGGUUAACAUCUACAUCCAGCGAAUGGGAAUCCCUCAAGCAGAAACUGAUGCCUACUUUGGAUCCAAGGAGCCAGAGCCAGAUCCAGCCCCGCCGUACCACAGUCCAGUGGAUCAGCUGGAGAAGAGCCAGUCCAUUUCCAAGAUCCUGCAGGUGUUACCUGGCGACCACAUUGAGAAAAGUCGUAUCAUGACGAAAAUGGUCCGCUCCAGCAGCUCCACUGGACACAGGAACUACAACGCCCCCACCUGUCCACCCUCCACUUCCUGGCAGCCAAUCAGCUCCCAGCUCCACCAGCAGGCCCAGCCCCCUCCCCAGCGUAGCCAUGGCAACACUCCAAGUCCAGUGGGGGAUGCGUCACUGGUUCGACUUCCACCUCCUCCGGCUGGAGAGAGACACAGUGGGAACCGAUCCAACCGGCACAGUACCGGGGACCGAGGAGGGGCGGAGAGACCAGAGAGGGGAAGAGAGGGGGCCAAUGGGACCACAGGAGGAGGAGGUGGGGAGGAGGGGAAGCCAGACAGCGACACCUCCAUCUCCAUCCCGUCCGUGGAUCACGAGGAGCUGGAGCGCUCCUUCAGCGGCUUUUCCAUCUCCCAGUCCAGAGAGAAUCUCGACUUCCUCAACAAUGGCUUCUAUUCAUCCUCUGCCAACCUGGGAGACCACCGAGGAGGAGGCGCCGCCGCCGCCGCCACCCACUGUGCUGCUGUGCGGCCCUACAUCGCAGAGGGGGAGUCGGAUUCUGACUCGGAACUCUGUGCCCCCUCGCCGCACUCGGAUCGUGCCUGGACUGGAACUAAGUAGAGUCACAGGUGCAAACUGGAACAUAACCAGCAGAACAGUUGACAUGAUCAAUAUCAAAAUGUGAAUUAAAACCAUGAAACUGUGUCAAAACCUUGAAACACCAGCUGGAGUUACAGAGUGAAGCAUCAUGGGGACCGUGAAUGAGCCAAAACACCGGCUGUCAUGGUGGUUUUAUUCAUUCUCCAUUUCCUGUCCAGAGCUCAAACACAGACGCAUCCUGAGCUGAACGUCUCUGCAGGUGAAUGUUAAACUCACUCAGCUGUGACGUCAUGUUGUAUCGAAGGUAACGGAGGGAAAGCGUCGCUCUCUGAGCUGUGGCUAUACGUACUGACGCUGAAAGAACGGUUUGAAGUUUUGAGGAGCGACCACAACUGAAUUAGCUCAUACAAAGAUUGUGAUGUUUUCACUUUGUUUUUCAGGCUGAUAAUUUUACAAAGAAAUCGCUGUCAUAAAUCCCAAAAGAUUCCAAAAAAUGUGAGUCUACACUCGCUUUAUAUUCUUCAGCUCAAAACAUAACUAAUUAAUUUGAUUGUUCACUGAAACAUUUUCAAUGUUCACGUUGCCGACCUGAGUCUCUCGACUGACUGCAUCACGUUUAAAUUUCUGUGAAGCUGAAAUCAAAAAUUUCACAAACAAUUUCUUAGGCUGUUUUCACAGAAGGUAUACACUUCUAUUGCAAAAUGGAAUCUUAGGUGGUUAAAUAGAGGCCAAAAAGUCAGAAUCUUGUCUUUGGGCUCAUAGUGUUCAUGCUAACCAGCUACUGCAAAAGGUUGGUUAAAAUUACUGUGCAUGUGGAACUGUGGAUUUUAAUGAAGCAACCUGUAAUCUCUCAAAAUUAUUUAGCUAGCUCAGCUUUUGGCUUUGGAAGUUACUAUUCGCAAGAUAGUUAGCCUGCCUCGCUAAUGUUAGCAGCUUAGACUAACGCAGAUAAAUGAAUCCCUGCCUUAUUCUGCUGCUGUUGUGUUUUUGGAAAGUUGAUAGAAUCCAAAAAUCCAUCGAUACAGUUGCUAGACUGUGAUUAGGUUAUCGGUUAAGACUCGUGUGGUGAAAUGAAUCAGAAACUACACUACAGUGAACAUGAACGCUGCAUUUUUACAUUAUGAUCACGACCUCACAGACACAUUAGCAUGUAUAUAUGAUGUAAGCAUCCCCACUAAUGAUAAUUAUAAAUCCCAAAUGCUGAUUACAUCUGUAUUAUUUAAAUGACAUGAUACUGAGGAGUCUUUGUCGACAGAGAAAAGCGGAUCCAUCCAGCAGGGGGCACCCAGGAGGAUCAGCGUCACCUCAGGAAACCAAAGUAAGACAAACUUACCAAAAUAAGACUUUUUUUAUUAGCUGAGCUCUUUAACAUCCCUGAGCAGCAGAGGAGUUUUGGACUGAGGGGGGCCCAGGGGCACUGAGAUCCAGCCUGGACCCCACAAACCGCACAUACAAGGUUUAAAGGUGACGGUUUGUUCAUAGCUUUCAUCAUCAGAUUGUAUGUACGUCUUACCAGCUGAUCAGUCAGCUCUCCUGUGAUUGGCUGAUGAUCUGCUGAACCACAUUAACGUGUUCGUUUGAAUGUAAACACACUUGUUGUUUCCAUUCAGUCUAUCAGUUUCCUGACAGAAGGAAACCGUCUUUUUCUGUUUGUAAUGUUUAUAGACGUGUGUGAAUAACGUCAGCUGUCUGACUAAACAACCAUUUAAAUAUGUGCUGGAUUCAUGUUUUAACAUAAUGUAAAACUUAAUUUAAACAACCUGAUUAUAUUUUGCCAAAUGUAAACGCAUGUUGUUUCACAGACUCAGUCCUGAUAAAUCAAGCUGUAUUUAUGGAAGGGAGAACAAUCGGUACGACUAACUCUUUAAUCUUGUUCCUGCAGCUCAGACUAACAUGCAAACUGUAAACUCUUUGUACAGAAUGUUGCCUGUUUGAUUGUAUUUAAAUAUUAAAAACUUCUGAUCAUCU